CACCAACAGACGAGCCGUAUGAGGGACCACCGGGAGAGAGAUUUGAGGACUGAAGAAUGCAGAGAAUAUGCUACAUGGAUUAUUCUGGACUAUGUCUUUGCCUCUGUUGUAUCUUUCGAUUGUAAUAAUUCUAAGGGACUUUGGAUGUAUUGCGUUCUAUGUGUGGACUUUGGACAUGAGUUAUGUGUAAUAAUUCUAAUGGACUUUGGAUGUAUUA